UAGGUACACUGGAGAGUCAACUCUUGCUCCAAAACCUUAAAGUUCAGAUAGGUGGAAGAGGAAACUGAUGAGAGAUAUCACCAAGGGAAGUAUUGACUUUAUAAGCUUAGAGAAGAUCCUGCUCUUCUCAGUGCUCCUGCAGUGUGAUGCCUGAACCUUGUACAUAAACACUGUAUUUGAAGCCAAUGGGACUGUUUUCCCUAAAAAAAAGAGUCUGCAUCCAGGCUGUAAGCAGCCAGUUUGUAUGUAGAAUGUACUUCCAAUUAGUUCCUUCUCUAUAGGAGAUGAAGACAGGGAGCAGUUCUGCAGGGGAGAACAUUUACUGCUAAAUGAGGUAGGUGGGCCUUUUGUCUUGGGCAAGUGUAAGGGUCUAAAUGUUGCUUGGCUUGCAUAUCUUUUGUAAAAUAGCUUUUUCAGACUAGAGAGGAAACACUACUUGGACUCCCUGUUAAUAAGUAGCCCAAAUGCUGGUAAGGUUCUUUGGAGUCAGUGGACUUUCUGGCAUGAUAGAAGCAGUCUGUAGAGCUGUUUGGGUCUAACUUAGGCAUGACAUGCAGGAGUGGAGCCUGCCAAGGCUUCAAUACUCUGUUUUCUCGGAGUAAAGAUUUUGAUUUUCGGACUCAAGAUUGUGGCUUGCCUGAAUGGAUUCUGCAGUUAAGUCCUAGCUUUUGUUUAUUCUGUCAUUAACUCUUCAUUUGAUUUUCUCAUGCUUCUGGAGGACAUCUGCCCAUGGAGCUGGUUUGGGGAUGUCUUUUCUGGGCUAAAACCUUCUGGAGCCAGAUCUUAAUAUGAGCUUGCCUGCAGUGAAAUUUGCUCAGCUUCACCUAGCAAAGCCAAUGUGCCAGACUUUCAAAUUAAGGCUACUUCCAGUAGUGGGCAGAUGCAGCUUUGAAAGAGAGAAAUGCUUCAGGAUAGACCCGUUGUCAUUGGAGGUAGAGAUAUACUAAAGAAGUUGCAAGAACAAAUUACACCUGUAGCCAGAAAAAUUCAAGUACAUAUCCCUGAGGAUGAAGCCAUAGAGGCCCAGGUCUUCGUGUUACAGGAAUCACCUCCUGAAUCUGAAAUACCCGAGGAAGUAGACAACAUGGUAAAGCUAUUGUUAUGAGCUGGAGGAACCUCAGGAUGAUCACGGUGGACCAAAUGUGUGAUUGUACAAUUGUAGCUGAACUCCAGACUGGUCAGAAAAAAAAAAAAACAUUUGAACUGUUCGUGCAUGAAAGGCUGCAUAAUGCCCUGGGAGUCCUGGCACAGAGACUGAGAUUAUUGAGAGCAUUGGAACUAUUAAAAGAAAUUUUUUAAAAAAGAGUCAAUAUAUGGAAUGAUUCAAAAUUUGCAUUUGGAGUUGUACAUUGCCAUGGAGUAAUAUGGAAGAGAAGAGGACUGCUAUCCUACCAGGGAUCACAAAUAAAAUAUGGACCCAUUAUUAUAGAGCUACUAGAAAGUGUACAGCCUCCUCAGAAAGUAGCCAUAAUGCAUCGCAAAGCACAUCAGUUCAGUAACACUCCAGUGAAUUACAGCAGCUGACUUGCCAAUAGAGCUGCUGAAGCAGCCACAGAAGGAACUCUUUUAUUAGUAAUCCUGGACAAAUAUAAAUAACUAGGGAAAGAAGUCCCACGUUAUCAAGCUAAAGAUGAGAGACUGGCAACAUUACGGACAGUGGUUAAAGAUGACAAAGGAUAGUAGAUAACUCCAGAUAAACAGACAAUUAUCCCUCAAUCUCUUAUGAAUAAAUGGCCAGAAGAUUAUCAUUGAUUGACACAAUGGGGAAUAGAGACAAUGAUAGAAAGCAUGAGACACCAAGUUUUAAGUGUGCGAAUGGCAGGAAUCAUAAAGAAUAUUGUGAAAAGAUAUGAACUCUGUUUGAAAAACAAUCUCCAUCAACCUAAAUGACCUCCACUCAAAACAGCUAAGAAAGGAAACCAUCCAGGAGUUUAUUGGCAGAUGGAUUUUUGUGAAUCACUGCGGUGAUGUGAGCACAGGUAUGUCGUUGUAUGUGCACCUUUACUCCUGGAUGGACUUGUACACCGGUACCAACCUGCAGAUUGAGUGUACCUGAAGACAGGGUCAGAUAAGGAGAAGUGGAGAGGACCCUUCCAGACUUUACUCACCACCCAUGCAGCAGUCAGACUCAAGGGAAUCAGCCUAUGGAUUCACUGCAGUAGAGUCAAGCAGGUUUCUCAUAACAAUAAGUAAUGCAUUUAUUAACGGUGAGGGAAUGAAUGUGAAAGUGAAAAUUUGGUUUUAACAUUAAUACAAGGGUUUGGUAGGAUGUGCAAUGUCACUAGCAUCUGCGUAAUCAUAAUUAUAAGAGGUAUAGGACUGUAUAAGAUGUAUUAAAAGAUAUUUUGAAAGAAAUAUGUGGAAGUAAUUAGAAGAACUAACUAUUUACUUCCCAAGGAGGAAAUUGAUACCUGGCAAUUAAUUAACCACAGGCCCCUUGCAAGGACCCCAUACUAACACAGAGCGUGUGCAGUAUUAGAUUUUAACAUAUAUAGUAAUUCUUGUAAUAGGCAGGCACUCUGUGGAAAAUGUAUGAAUAUUCACACAUGUUCAGUGUAUCUGUGUAUAUCUAUCAAUGUAUCUAUUCAAUCAAUCUGUGUGCUUUUAGCUCCUGGCUUUGCACGUUAGGCGGAGCAAUCCCCUGUGCAUCCAGUAACACAAUAACAAUAUUGUCACAAUAACAAAUGCCUGCUUCUUAAUGCUACAUUAGCAUUAAUGAGUUUUGUUCCUGAUUUCAGUGGCAGAAUUGGUGUUAUUUCUUUUUUUUUUCUUUUUUUUUUUUUCCCCCACCAAGUAUGAGGGCAAGACAUUAUGUGGGUGUAUGAGGUAUCUUUAGAUAUGCAGUGAGACAACUCAGGCACUGGGGAAAACUCAUCUCUGGAUACUGUCUCUGUCUCCCAUUUUAUUUAAGUUUCUUUCAGCUGCUGCCAUGAGCCCAGGAUAUCUCUUUUCAGCUGGCAGGAGCUGACAUAGCAGAAAUAGCUAUCAAAUAUGAUAUAGGUUCUCCCUUUGAAUGCUCCUUCUUGCACCAUUCUUGGUACAGUUUAGGGUACCAGUAGAAGAAAUGAAGAAAGCAGACAUCAAAGAUACUGCACAAGGUCAGUCAGCACCGAGAAGAGCCAACCGUCCUUCUAUAUCUGAUGCAAAGUGCCACAUCUUAGCUUUGUUUUCUUUUUCAAAAACUCUACUGGAAUUUGAAGAGGUUUUAAAACACCAGUACAUGAUUUGAAUAAUUGUAUGCUCCAAGGAAUGUAUGCCACCCAGAACAACUGGUCUGUCCCAGAGAAAUAGUACAACACUUCCGAAACGGAAGAAAAGCCUGACUUCUACUGACUUCAGUCUUCUUUUGCAAGUGGGACUUCCCACUGAGAAUCUAAAUAUGCAUCAGAUGUCUAAAAACAGUAAAUCAUUUAAGGGUUUUAACUGGGAAAAUAGUUCAGCAGCCCUUAUGAAUUAUUACUUUUUCACAUUAUUGCAAUUAAAAAUCCUCAUUUUCUCAGUGUUUGCAUAAGCAAAGUGGUUUGCCUACGGUGAAUGCAGCUCCACUGAAGGAUGUGAUACCUACUCUGCAUUGGUGCUCUCUGUUCCAAUGGGUGCAACUCUGCCAAUACUGCAGAAAUUUGAGGAUGCUUUUCUCUGAAGCAGUAGUGUUUAAAAUUUCAUCCUGUCCAUUAGAUUGCUCCAGAAUUAGCCUUGUAAGUACAUCUGAGUUCUGUGGCAUCAUGUUGCACUAAAAGCCAGUCUCUGAGAUGAGGGACUCAGGCAGUUUAUUUAUAGUUCAGAAGGUCAAAUAGUUGCCUUAAUUGGAAAACACCACUCACCAGUCUCUGAGCGUAUUGAUGUACUUUGCAUUCGAUGCCAUUAGUUACUUGUGUGAGUUUCUAAUAUCACCUUUGUUAAUAAGAUACAUUCUCCAUAAUGGGCUGCUUGCAGGUUCCAAGAGCCAUUUAUAUGCUAAGUUUGACAAGUUAGAUGAUGCUAAACCCAUACUGAAAGCAAUAGCUGUCAGAACUGUACCUGGGUGCCAGGCAGAUGUCUGUGACCUUCAAACUGUUUUGGGAUGGGAUGUGCUAAAUCCCGUCUGUAUGGUAUGUGACCAGGCAGCAAAGGUAUUUCUUCAAAUAUAUCUUGAAUUCCUGCCAGAAAAGUUGUAUAUAAACCUCACAGCAAAAGUUUGAUGGACUUGGCUUGUAGUAGAAGGAAGGUGAAAUAAAGUCACAGAAUCACAGAAGUUGGAAGGGACCUCAAGAGAUCAUUGAGUCCAACCCGCUGCCAAAGCAGGUGCCCUACAACAGGUCACACAGGUUGGUGUCCAGACAGGACUUGAAUAUCUCCAGAGAAGGAGAAGGCAAGGUGCUCCCAACAUGUCUGAAUUAAAGCAUACGAUAGCAAACACACUGAGUGAUUUGAGAGACCUGAAGAUCUCUCAUCCAUAGAGAUGCAGAUUAGGGAAAAAAAAACCACAAAAACAAACCUCUUCUCAACGCAAAGGAAACUAUCUUAAAGAAGUCUAAAAAAUUCCUCUUGAUUUCACUUCUGCUGUUCCCACACUUUCCCUUGCCUACUAUUGUUGCUGAAGGUCAUGUCAAGUUUUACAUGUAGUAUGGCCCAGUAGACACAUGAUCUUAACCAUAGGAGGAAGGCAAAAUGUUAAUGUUCAUUGUGUGGAUUUAUGUAGGAAGGGAGCAAGGAAGAGGAUUAAUAUGGAGGUGGCUAAUGCUGGGACUACUCCAAGUUUCUCUGGAAUCGAGCUCAGGAUGGCAUAUACAAAUAGGAAUCACACCUCUGGUUUGAUGUGAGGGGGUGUGACUAGUGAAGUUGCUGAUGUGAAGUUUUCUGGGUCCCUUAAGAGGUUAGGGGAGAAUAAGGCUAAUAUUAGGAAGGGGAUAAAGGCAUGGGCUGAGAUGUGAAGGAAAGCUAGUUGUGAGAGAUCAAGUCCAGUGGUGACUAUUAUUAAGCUUAGCUGGCUGGAGGUGAACCUGAGGAUGUCUUUUAAUGAGAAGUAGUGAUAGAAGGGAUGGGUUGGGAGGUGAAUUAGGGAAUUGCUGACUAUUUUUAGUAGGGGAUGGGAUUUUCAGAUGUUGAGGGCCAUUAUUUUAUUAUCUAUGGGCUGAUAGAUUAAUUAUUAACAUUGAUAGAGUGAAGAAUCCUCAGUAGGUUUUGAUUAAGCCUGUGGAAUGUAGUUGUGAUUUUGCUUGCUGUCAGGUGGAGGUUAGCAAAGCCUUUGGGGCCUAUUUUCUUGUGUCAGGAUAUAUCGAUUAGGUGAAAGGCAAUUUUUUGUCCUUUAUUUAGUAGGUCUGUACAGCUGGAUCAGAGCAUUAGGGAGCUUAAAGUAGCCUAAGGAGGAGAAGUUUCUAAGGGUACUUUGUUUUAAGGGGAAGGUAAAGGUGUGGGUUAUAUUUGAAGUUCUAGAACUAGAAUAAUUCUGAGAAUUGUGAGCACAUAUAUAUGUAUUUUUAUAUAUAUAUAUAUAUGUAUAUAUAAACACUAAUAACCCAAUGAAACAUCCUACCAGUCCAAAUCACAUCCAUCCAAAACUCUAUCAUUUAUCAUAAACUUCAUAAUCCCCCUAACCUUAAAAAUAGACCCAUGCUCAAUACUAUUUUUCCAAUUGCAUAAUUUGUAACUUGAUCAAUCCUGGAAUUUGUAACAUGAUGCAUAGCCUCAGAACCAUGUAUCAAGAAAUUCUUCACCUAUCUUCUUUACGUCCGAAUUGCCAUACUAACCAUUGCAAACAGCAUAUUCCUUCUUUUGUAGGCUGAGAGGAAUUAUGUCAUUCCUAUUCAUUGGCUGAUGACAAUGUCAAGCCAAAACUAACACAGCAGCAUUAAAAGCUGUAGUCUACCACCAGAUUGAAGAUAUAUAAGGCAAUGUAAUAUAACACAAAAUAGAGAUAAGCAUGUGAGUUUUUAACACUUGAAUUCAGUACUGUGCAGUACAAAGUACAAAGGAUCUAAGUAGAGUAAAUUUAAAUUUAAGAAGGUAAGCAGUUUUAGUUAGUUUAAAAUGGCAGGCUGGAGUAUUUAUUUGAUAAAAAGUCAUUCAAGUAUUUGACAGAAAGUCAUAGAAAUGAAAAAGCUAGACAUAACUGUUUUUAAAACAGCAUAACAACAUAAAAUGGGAAGAAGAGAGACUGAGAUUGUACUAUUAAUGUUUUCAUGAAGAAACAAAACACCAGACUUAAACAAGCAAACUCUAGUGGAGGAAAUAGAAACCCUAUUUUCUGCGGAGUGUGCAGUGAGACAUAAUGGCUGUAUAACUUCUAAAAGUUUAUAGUUUAGUGGUGCAGGCUCAGAAUAAAAGAAUUCAAUAGCAAAAUGAGUCAACACUUAAACCUAAAUUGUAAUUUAUAAGGGACUCUCUUCUCACGCAAAUCAAAUUUGGAAGCAGAAUAAUGUCUUCUGAUAGCGAGGCAGUAUUUGCUGAAUGUUCUGGGUGGCAGUUUGCAAUACACAGACAUUUGAAAUUACAUUUAUAAAAUAAAUGUUCAAUUCAAAACAAUUUUUAGCCUAUUUGCUGACACAUAAUACAAAAUUGUUGCUACACUAUAUAUUUCUUCAUAUAAGGCAUUGCAACACGCAGACAGUAAUGAAAAAUGGAGGCAACAGAGUUCUUGCAAAUGAAAGCAAGAAUGUAACUCUGUUCUUCCUGCUUCCCACCAGGGAAUGGUGGCUUCCAAAACACUGGAAAACAAGGCAGUUGGUGAGAAAGUCUCAGAAUUGACUCCAUGUGUUAAAAAAAGAAGGCCAAACAAAGCCAAGAGUGGUCACUCCCUGGCAUGUGCACCCUGCCUGAUACUUCAGGGAGAACAGAGUCACAUGGGCCUACACAUCACUGUCUCUCUCCUUCACUCUGCAUCUGCCAGGACAGAUGCAAUAAGGAUGCUGGUGCAUAUUGAAGCUCUGCUCUUCCAGUGGAUCUCAGCAGAAUGCACACUGAAAUUUCUCAUAGCUGAUGUACUCUCCUCACAGCUUAGAAGCCCCACUCACAGCAUCACAUAACAGUCCAGACUGAAAGGGACCAUAAAGCCCACUCAGGCCCAACCCACUGCCAUGGCCUGGCUGCCCCCUCCAGCUCAGGCUGCCCAGGGGCCAAUCCAACCUGUCCUUGAGUGCCUCCAGGGAUGGGGCACCACAACUUCUCCGGGCAGCUGUGCCAGGGCCUCACUGCCCUCUGAGUAAGGAAUUUCAUCCUAACAUCUAACCUAAAUCAUGAGUUUUUCGGUUCAAAACUAUCACUCCUUUUCCUAUCACUAUCACUGCAAACUGUCUAAGAGUGCACUCAGCCCCACUGUCCAUGUCAAUGAGAGAUGUUCAGUAGUGCCAGUCCCAACACACACCCCUGAGGAACACCUCUUGUUACUUUUCUCCACCUGGACAUCAAGCCAUUGACCUCAGUUCUUUGAGUGAGACCAUCCGGCUGAUUUGGUCUGCAGCUGCUAGUAUUGUUUGUGUAUCCCCAGUAAGUUCACAAUCCAUACAAAAACAUUCAGACUUUGAUUAAGUCUUGCAAUGCAAAUCUAGGACAACGUUAGAUAAACUGAAUUUGCAUGUGAAAUUAAAUAGCACUAGGGACACUGUUCUGAGUUACGAAUUUUCACUUUUCAUUUAAUUAAGAACUUGUACUUUCAAAGUAACCUGAAUCUAUCACAUAAUCUCCAGUAGUACGCACCACAGUGCUGCAAGAACUGUGAACCUUUUAGCUAAACUUUAGAAUAGCAUGGCAUAAGCAUAGCAUAGUUCAGUUGGAAGAGACCUUCAGACAUCAUCUAGUCCAAGUGUCUGACCUCAUCAGGGCUAAACAAGAGUUAAGUUAAUGAAAGCAUCAUCCAAAUGCCUCUUGAACAUGGGACAUCAACCACCUCUCUAAGUAGCCUGUUCCAGUGUCUGAUUGCACUCACAGCAAAGACAUUUUUCCUGAUGUCCGGUCUAAUCCUCCCAUGGCACAGCUUGUGCUGUUCCCAUCCAGUUCCUAGGAGCAGAGCCAGGUAACUCCCUCUCCAUUCCCCUCCUCAGGGAGCUGCAGAGAGCAGUGAGGUCACCUCUUGGCCUCCCAUUCUCCAGACUAGACAACCCCAGUGUCCUCAGCCUCUGCUCACAGCACAUGCCUUACAACCCUGUUACCAGCUUUGUUGUUCUCUGGAUGCUUUCAAGGACCUCAUCAUCCGUUCCGUAUUGUGGAGCCCAGAACUGCACACAGCACUCCAGGUGAGGCCACACCAUUGCUAGAGAUACAGUGGGAUAAGCAGCUCUUUUGACCAGCUGGUCAUGCUGUGUUUAUUGCACCUCCAAGGGCAGUUUGCCCAUUUGACUGCCAGGGCACACUGCUGGCUCAUGCUGAGCCUGCUGUCACCAGCACCCCAAGGAACCUUCAUGCUGAGCUGCUCUCCAGCCACUCCUUUCCCAUCUGUGCUUGGGUCUGGCAUUGCUCUGUCCCAGGAGUAAAACUCAGCCAUUUCCUUCAUUGAACUUGAUGCCAUUGAUAAAUGCCCAGUGCUCCAAUCAACCCAGAUCCCUCUGCAAGACCUCUUGCCCCUUGAGGAAUUCAACAGCACCUUCCGGUUUAGUGUCAUCAGUAAACUUGUUAAGGAUGCACUCAACCCCUGCACCCAGAUCACUGACAAAAACAUGGAGCAUAACUGGCCCUAGACUUGCACCCUGGGAAAUAUCACUAGUGAUCAUCUGUCAGAUACAUGUAGACCCAUUCACUGUAAAUCUCUGAACUCCACUGUUGAUCCAGUUUACUCUGUAGCACAGCAUAAAUCUGUUAGUCUCACCAUUGGACAGUGUAAUGCUAUUAUGUGUUCGAAAGUAAAGCAAUAAUAGUAGAGUGGCUAUCCUAUCCUAGGCUGCAGCAAAUGAGAACAAGCCCAAAUGCAGCAGCUGUAGACAUGGAAACAAAGGAAGAAAAACUUCUUACCUUUGGAAGGUCUCAGGUAGGCAGAUACCUCCAGAGAAAUACCCUCACCUCCCCCUGCCAGCCCUUAAAUGAGGUCUGGGAAGGGGUGGAUCCUGGCUUCCUUCUGGUCACUCAGCUGCACUGCAUGCAUCAGGGCUCCCCUGGGUUGGCCCUGCCUUCCCACCAGGUGCUCAAUCACUGCUUCAAGCUGUGACUUAGCAUUUCCGCUACAGACAGUUUGUCCAGAAGGAUGCUAUGAAGGACAAAAUCAAAGGCCUUACUAAAAUCCAGAAAGAUUAUGUCCGCUGCCUUCCCUUCAUCCACAAAGCAGGUGACCUUAUCAUAGAAGGAGAUAAAAUUACUAAGGCAGGACUUUCUCUUAAUGAAUCCAUGUUGAUUAUGCCUCAUAAUAGCUUUGUUCUUCAAAUGCCUUUCAAUACCCCCAGCACAGUCUUUGUAUUCUUUCUAAAGACUGAGGUUAGACUAACAGGUCUGUGGUUUCCUGGGUCUUCUCUUGUGCCCCUUUUGUAGUUGUUUAUAACACUGGCUAGUUUCUAGUCAGCAGGGAUGUUCCCAGGCUACCAAGACCUUUGGUAAUUCAUUGAGAGGGGUCCAGCUACAACAUCCAUUAAUUCCUUUAGUCUGGAAUGAACACUAUCAAGCCUCAUGGACUUAAGAACAUUAAGCUGGUACAGAUGGUCCCUUAUGAUUUGGUGGCCACAAAUAUAUAAAUCUCUGCUCCUGUUGCAUGGAUUCUAGCAAAAUGAUUCACCAGACUUCUCUCAAAAUAAAAACUUCCACGUUACCUUGUCCUCCAGUGGACACUGCCUUCACUGUGCUCUUUCAGUGAACCUCUGGUGCCUUCCUCACUAAAUUCUUCUUACUUUUGGGAUGAGCUAAGCUGGGCCUUGAGUUCCAUACUUUUCAGAUGCCACUAUGGAAGAAAAGACAAGACAGGCGCCUGAGCGUUGUUCUGGAUUUUCCUAGACUCUAAAGUUUGUUUCUGCCUGUUUCAAACAAGAGUGAAGUAUGUGGAAGUCUCAGGUAAUAGCUCCUGAAGUCAUGAGCUACUUCCUCAGGCCCUACAUGAAGAUUAAAUGAGUUAGUCAGUGGCAAACUGCUGAGACUACAGCUCAGCUUUCUUAACUCUUUCAAGUGCUUCAUCCAUCUGUCUUCACCACCUGCCAUGGUUAAUUUUUAACAUCUGCAAAGCUGUAAUGGAAUCAUUUACAUGCUUACAACAAAACACGCACUGUUUGCUGGAUUCUGUCAAUGUUGCUUAAAUUUUACUUCUACAGCUAAACUGCAGAAAAAAGUGUCUCAGGCAAUAUAGAGAACAGGUGACACUUGAUAGCCACAGUUAUCAUAUUUGGAUUCUUUUUUUAUUGAGAACAACACUUCAAGGACAGAUGGAUUAUUACCUUUCCACAAAAGUACUCACAUUUCUGCUGAGUAACCUUCUUAUCAUCUCCUUUUAUUACUAAAUCUUAAUGAGAUAGUAAUAUAAAACAUAAUUAAUUUUAUCAUCAUUUUAAAAUUAAUGUGAUAAUCAAAGUAGAAUUCCAUCUGCAGAACCCAUUUUGGAUCUUCGGUCUUCUAAAAAUUCCCUAUAGUGCCCACCCCGCUACUGAUGAUGAUAAAUUUGGGGAUUACGUUUCUGGAUAACAGAGUGAGAAUGAUACUCUUGUCAAUAGGAUGCCAAGUAGUUAUCAGGUGGUAAAAACUAACCAAGCCCUUAUAAUCAACAGUAGAGAAUGAUGGCUUUGCAUUUAAUGGACUGGAUAGGAACUCAGUUUGUCUCUUAAGUGUACUUAGCAUCUACACAACACAUACAUCCCGUACAGUACAGGCCCGUGAGCACACACAGUCAAGAAGCAAUGGCUUAUGAGAGUGAUUGUAGCUAAUGAAUUUCACUUCACAGCUCAGGGGUACACACGUGGGCUGCUACUCACUCCUAGUGCUGAGCAGUGCUUUAUUAAAAUCCCAUGACUUGAUCACACGCAGCCCACAUGCUCAUGCCCUGUUCCUGAGUUCAGUAACCUUGGGGAACUGGGUUUGCAGCCCCAAAAUCAGAAAUUAGUUGGUAACUGCUCAGGACUUAGCAAACAGGCUGCACUGGCACACAUGAAGGAAGUGACUUUGUAAACCCUGUCACUGAUGGCCUGAAGUGAUCUUUGUUUCCCAGCUAUAGAAUACAAUCAUGAACACAGAUGACUGUGAUGACUGUAGGCUGUGAAGCCCUUUACCUGUUUCAUCUUUUGAGGCUCCAGUCCUGCAGCACACACACACACAAUUUUAUCACUGUGAGAGGAGCUGCACUAGGAAUGAGGUUGGCAAGUUCAUGCUUACAAGGUCAUGGACUAAUAAAUAUUUGGGAUGAGAUUUAUUCCCUAGUUAAUGGCCCAAACAGCGCACAGGCAGCAGAUCCUUUUUUCUCCAGUAAGAAAGCAUGUAAUAAUAAUAAUGAAGUGAAAAGUUCUAUCCUUUGUCAUUUCACAGCACUGUCAUAUUAUACAUCUAGUACAAUGUUUGGCUUUUCUGACUGGCCCUGUUAAUUUAUGAUGUAUCCAUAGGAAUGCAGACUUGGAAGACAGACUGGCCAUUUCUAAUAAGUAUUAUACAAUUAUACAGUGUCACACAAUUGCUAAACAAGAGAAAGGAAAAGAGACCUGCUUUGCAAAGCUCUGAAUUUCUAACAUGCAAUUGGCCCAAUGGGACACGGAGGUUUCAAUCAAUAGCACACCUAUUUACAUGGACUGAUGUAAUUCAGACAGGCAAAAAGAAGCAUGAAAGACUAAGUAGCUAAGGACUGCUGCCCUGUUUUUAUUUCAGUUCCUUUCCACAAGGCUGCACAGCACUAUUAUCAGGUGAGAGGCACUGAGCGGCAUUUCAUGUAUUAUUUAAGAGAAACCACAGCUGUUUUAGAUGGUAAAAGGGUGCAAUGUCAAGUGAGUAUUAUCCGUUAUUUUCACUUGAGCUGAGAAAUGUUUUAGCACCGUUUCCUCUCUACAGGGAAACCUGGCUAGUGGGUCACUUCUCACUCCUAUCACUGAGGCCUCGAGAGCUGCUUUAAUGAGUGCUAGCUCCCCGCUGAUUAUUGAUUCCAUCUGGCUCAAUGAACAGGAAUAAAUAGUUCCUAAUUUGUUGUGGCAUUGCGUAGAUGUGUUUAUUUAUUAAAGGAGAGAGCUGUGGCAGCAUGCAUCCCAUUCAGCACCAGUACCACGAGCUUGGUAUUGGCAGGAGAGAAGCAAAUCCCUGCCGCUGAGCGGCAGGCCAUGCCAGGUAGCUGGCAUGGUGAGAUGCUCACAGUUACUGCCUCUCUGCAAUGGUCAGUCUCUAGGCUCCCUCUCACACAUCUGAUCACAUCUGUCACCAAAGACAUUCCCAUGUCAAACCCUUUCGUCCCACUCAUUGAGGUCCUUGUCCCUGACACUAUAGCUGCAUUUGCAUGAACAGGAACACUCUGGUGCUGCUAUGAUCAUAUUAUCCAACAUCCCGAACUAAUUCAUGUAUAGCUGCACAGCCCUCCAGUGUGCUGGGAGACUCUGUGGUCACUUUUAUGGCCUAAAAGUCACUACUGUGUCACUACUUUGACAUCUUGACAUUGAGGGUUUGAAAUUAGUUCACAGGAAAACAAGAACAAGCUGAAACCAGUUCAAGGUUGCAGGGAGUAGUUUCCCCCAGAUUAUCAGAUUUGUCUUCAGGAAACCUGUGUUCCAGCUUAAUGUUAUUACCCGCAGGAGCAAACUCCAUACUAUAGCUAACCUGCCGAUAAAAUGAGGUCUAAGUUGUUCCUUUUUCCUUAUCUCUGCCUGCUUUAUCCAUGGACAUUUGACUGUCCAGGCCAGGGAAAGUCUCUCACUCCUUAUUCAAGCCAAAACUUUUUACUAUGAGAACAUCAUCCGCGCAGGGGCCUUCAGGAAUCUCUAUUACAGAAAUAACAACAAAUUUUAUCCAAAGGAAAAAGGCAAGAAAUUAUGUAUGGUUUUCCUGAAAGCACUAUGAUAUGCUGCAAAGACAUUUUUUGCCCUCCUGUAAUGAAACAAAAAAUGGUACAACACUGAAUCCCAAAUGUGCUCUUCUUUCAGUAAUGUAAUAUUACAGAACUCUAGCGAGGCAACUGAUGUUUCUUUCCUUUCAUUUAUUUUCUCUAAAGAUAGUUACUCAGCUCUGUGAGUUGGAACUGGAUGUUCUAUACUGAUGAUUAAAUAACCCAAUUAGUCCUAGGUUUUAAUCACUAAAUAUUCUUGUUGGAGUAUAUUUAGAAUACAUUCUUAUAAUUCCAUUGGCAAUUUCACAGACAAUGAAGAGAAGUAAGUUGGAGGAGAGGGUUUGCCUUCUGCCUAUACCCAACAGUAUUGUAUUUUCUGACAGCUGUAGGCCCUUCAUUCCCAGAAAUUACUCUACUUUGUCAUACUUACUCUAGGGAGGGAGAAGUUGUGUCAGAAAUGGAAGCAUGAAAUAGGGCACUUCAAUGGAUAGAGCAAUUCCAGGAGGGAAUUCUGCACUGAAUGAGUCAUCACCAGACCUCUAUAGUUCACUGCUUGUAUUUGUGUAUAAACAAGUGCAGACUCCAGGAAAAAAAGAUGCCUCUACUACCUCUCUAAGAGCAUGCAUAUUAAGGUCCUCAUCAGACCUCUGCUCUCACACAUGGAAGUAGCCUACUCUCAGCUGCCUUGUUCAGAAAAUCUUGUGAACAGAGGUUUGUUAGUGAGAUUCUUGACAUCGUCUACAACAAUACCUGAUGGUACCAACCCUAUUAGACUAACUUUAACUGAAUGCAAAAUAUACCACAUAAACAAGAAAGCACCCAGAAGUGCUGGGAGUCAGACACAUUUGUCUUCCUUGCCCAUUACCAAUCAAUGCCCUUGCCACGUUAUUUGGGUCAGGAAGGACAAGCUCACUCCUCUUCUUUCCCUCAUCCCCAAGUAUGGGAUCUAAGAGAAGAAAGGAGAGCAGCAAAACUUUACAGCAGUGUUUUAUGCUUACCCCAGGCACUUGCCCUGAGAGGGCAAGGUUUUCUCCCUGUGUUGAGUUACAGAGAAUUACAGUUACUGAGUUACAGGCCUGAUGCUGAGACCCAUCACACACACUGUUUGAGCUGUUACUCCAGUGCAUGAAAACUAGCGCACAAAUGCAACUUCUGAGGUGCAGAUGAACUUGUGCAAGUACUCAGUGAAGCAAUGCGAUCUUAUUUGCACAUCUGGUACAGGCCAGAGAGAAAUAAUUCAGUCGAAGCAAAAUCAGCAGGGGGUUACAAUAAUUCCUUGAUUAAAAUUUGUGAUUUUUAAACAGACGUAUCUGAUGCAAUGAGAACGAAAGGUAACACACGUUCAUUAACUCACAUAUGGAAUCUCAAAGUAAUGUCUUUCGACUCAGUAAUAAAUCAGAGCUGACAUUUAAUAAAGUCAGUCUCACAAUGUUUCUCAUUUGAUUAUGGCCACAGCGCUUCAGGAAAGCUGCUAGUUGUUUCUCAGACACUCGUGUGUAUAGAUACCAGUGACUGUAUUUUCUCUUUUUUUACCUGCAGUCUGGGCUGUUCUGUUACUUUUCCCCAGUGGUUACAUUUGACUGAAAGAAAGGAACUGCCAUCCAAGAUAUUGAGAUUUCAGAAUUCUUUCACAGUUGGGGUGAGAAUAAGACAUCUUAGAAUCACUUGCAAACAAAACACUGAGAAAUAUUUUCUUCAUACAUUUUCUUUCUUCCUUCAUAUCAAUAAAGUUGGAGCUGGUGAUUUGUACUUACAUUAUGUUAUGCAGUCAAAAUAGAAAAUAGGAAAUAGAUGCUUGGACCUUUCUGAAAUUAAACAUUGCACCUUUCUGUUAGAAAGACUUAACAAUAAUUAUCCACUGAGAAUUUGACCAAAAAUGACAUUUAUCCGUGUGAUAUUUUCAUUCUGUAGCAUCAGCAUUUUCCAGUUUAAACAAGUAACCUUUGGAAAUUUUGAACUAGCCUUAUCUGAUGCAAGUUAAGCUGUACUGUCAUUACUAUGUGGGGCUCUGUCACUUGUUCACAGGAAGCAGUACCUGCAGAACUUAUCUUUGAGUUUAGAAGACAAGAUUGUGCAUCUCAGUAUGAAGUAUUCAUGAAAGCAGAAGAGAAAUAGAUAAGGGGAAAAAAAAAAACCAACACAACACGCAUAUUCAGGCACAGCAUAACAGAAGCAGAGAGCAAUGGAACACGGAAUAAACUGUGUAUAUGAAAAUGUGGUGUCCUAUCUAUAAAAACGCUAACAACUCAUGGGACUAUUGAUAGAUAACACAAGAAGUGUAUAAGCUUUUUGUCCAGAAACUUGCUUGCCUAUGAUUUGGUGUGUGAUACACAAUGCUGUGGGCAGAUGUCUAGAGGAUUUGCUCUUUAGAGUGUUAAGGACACAAAUGUAUGGUAAUUGUAGUUUCUCUGUUGUAAUACAGUUGAACAAAAUGGUCUAAUAUCUGGGAUACCACUUCUCAGAUGUCUCUGGUACUUGCACAGAAGCCAUUUGAUUUCAUGUUUAUGGAUAUACAUAUACUUACAUAUACAUACAUAUCUAUGGCUCAUGGUGACUUUCUUGUUGAGACUGAACCACAACAGACUACCUUUCUCUGUAACUACAGCACUUGUAGCCUCAUUUGAAACCUUACAUCAAGUAUAGAAAGAUAAUAAGACAGAUUCCGCUAAACUGAUUUCUACUCAAUCACCACUGAGUAGCAGGAAUACUGUCAGCUGCACAGACUCCACUUCAGCACUGGGGAUGGAUGUGGAAGGGAUCUGCUUUCCUUCCUCUCCCCAGCCAAGAAACAGGAGGUGCAGAGAAGCUGCAUGAGGCCACAGGGUCCCCAGAGAGACUCAUAAAAUCUAAUGAACUUCCUUCUUCCCUGCUCCCUUGUCAGAAUUUCCCCUAUUGCUACUACACUUAGUGGCAUUAGGAUCUUUGAGCUACUUAGCUAUUGGCUAUUUAUAUCCUUGUUAUGAAACAUUCAAAUAAUGUUGCCAGCGUCACCUUUACAGCUCUGCCCCUGAGGUCCUUCAGCGCCCUGACACAGGAAUACCGAAGCAGAGAGUCACAAAAUAGUUGAACCCAAAUUCGGAGGUUAUCUCUGCUAACUUCAGGGUACAAUCCUACACUUACAGGCUAAGUAAGUUCCCCUGCAAGUCCUGUGCUGCAAAUUGGAUCUUAAUGUUACUCUUAUAAAAAAUAACAGUGAAAAAUGAAUGGGAAUAGCUAAAAUUCUUUUUUUUUUUUUUUCUCUGGGAAAAGAAGCACUGCAAAGAGAUGUAUGUAUAAAUCUAAACACAGGGAAUAAUGUAUUAAAAUGUCAGUACGACUUUUCCUAACAUUAAAUGUGUAUCAGGUAUCUUUUCAAGGAUACUCACUUCAAAGGGCUGUAUGAGUUUGACUCACACUUCUGUUUUUCUAGUUUUAUGCCAUUCAUAUCAAAAUACACUAAAAAUGUAAUAAAACUUUGCAGCUAAAGAAGUAUAAACACAUCCAAGGAGCAUAUGUAUAUGUUUCUAUUAAUGACUUACUUAUGUGGUGCCACAUUUAUUAUAUUCAGGAUCAAAAUAUUCUCCUGCUCUUUUUUUCCCCCCAGAAUGCAUCCUACAUUGCUCUUCACUCAGCCCCUGCUGAAGAGAGGCAUCCCUGACCAAAGCACUCAUGGCCACAGAUAGGAAAAUGACAAAUUACAUGUCAGGUCAUUUGGGGGCAAUCACCGCUUCCUCUGAACCAGAAGAAUGAAAGAAUAGUACCACAUGGAAAGUUGUGAUCUCCUAGAAAGAAUAAGCAGCAAACUGGAUGUACUGAGCACGCAGCCUCUCUCACCUUCACGUACACAAACUGUAGCAGAACUGAGCAGAUGAAAUAAAUGAUCUUAAAAAGACAAACUAGGCAAGAACUUAUUUUGCUGGAACUUGAUGAGUGUGCAGAAGAAAUUGGUAUGGGAACUAAAAAUUGUUCCUAUUGAUAAGGUAAGAACAUAUAAUUUCUGUAGAAGAAACACUUAAAAAGAGACCUUUUUUUGGUAAAGUAUGAUGUAAGUCUGCAAGUCUAUCUCCCAGGGAAAAAACCAACCAUAUCCAAAGCCCACUUAGGGCUUCUGCUGGUGACCAGCCCUAGCUAGGUCUCUAGCACUGAUUCCGGUUACAGGUGAAGAUUAAUUGAACCUUUUUGUUUAGCUUUUUUUGUUUUGUUUUGUUUUGUUUUGUUUUGUUUUUUUCAAUCUUACUUUGGGGAUAAAACUUUGGAUAGUCAUGGAUAAAAUAAAAGCCAGAAAACAAUCUUACAUGUUCAUGUAAGUACAUGUAGCCUUAAAUACCUGAGUCCAGUAUUUCCUGUUCAAAGAAUUCUGGAUAUAGCUCCCUCUGCAAAACAAAAUACAGAACAAACUUUAAGUCAUUGGUGACAAAUACAGAUGAAUUUAUCUGUGCCACGCUGGGCACUCCUCAGUCCAGUUAGCUGUACUAUGGCAGAAAUGGCACAACCAUUACCAUUUUACAUUUAUCCAUUCAGUGGAGUCAGUGCCUAAACUCAAUUCCCUGAGAUCAUCUCCACAUUGUCAAAAAGGUUUCUGACUGGCUGCUUUUCUAUGCAGGGUUGUCGUGCCAGGCCACUGCUCUAGUUAACUACUGAUAGAAGAAUCAAUUACUGAUAGAAGACACCAUUGCUAUCCAUUCUCCCUUGCCUUUAGGAGCACUUUUUGUUUCCUUUUAAAGUAGGUACUGUAACUAUUCCUCAGAAUCUUUCAAUAAGAAUGAUCACCAGACAGCUUUAGUGCUGCACGUGCUUUAGUCAUGCAAGACUUUUCUCAUUCUGCUCUGGAAUUUUCAUCACAUUCAUCUCAACAGAAGAUGAGAACAUGGUUUCCUGACUGCUUUGCAGUAACGCCUAGCACUGAAAACACAUAUGCUUCCCGACUGCCAGAUAAAAAGAGGCAGAAUGUCCUGUUUAACACUACCUCACCAGAAACACAGGUUGGACAAGCCUUCCUGAUUCACUUUUGUUCACAACUGUUAUUGCAGUAUUUUUAAAGACUUUCCUUAUCCCAUGGACAAACUGCAUUUUUAGAAUUAUUUUUAACAAAUUAUUGUUCCAGAAUUGCUUCUUGUGAAAAGAUGGUGAACAGUUUGAAAGAGCGCAGGAUCUUUGUGAGCUCCUGCAUGACUGUCUGGCAGCAGGACUUCCUAUCCACUAGGAAUUUGAUUAAAGUAAGACUCAUCAAUUUAAACAGUCAAAUUCCCCAGCUGCCCAUGCUAAAGACAAAAGGGGAUCCAAUUAAUUAAUCACAGCCUGAAGGAGCAUAAUUAAUUAUAAGUUUUACCAAUACCAACUUCCUGACUGUAAGAGAGCUUGGAACACAGAUGUCUAACCAAGAAAACAGCUCUGUGAAUCUGAUUGUUUCCCUUGUUCUUUAAGUGAUGGUAAGAGGAAGGAAAAAGAAAGCUAAACCAGUGUAUUUGAUUAAUGUAGUUGACAAAUCUGCCAAAAACAAACAACCAACAGCAACAGCAAAAACCAAAACAGCAGUAGGGAAUGUUCUUUGAAAUUGCUUCUGGCUUCAAAUGUAAAUACACCUUUCCUUCUAACCUGAUUUUGUUAUGCAAUUUACGGCAGUGACACCAGUUAGUCAGAGAAAUGAAGAGCUGCAAAGGACUUCAAGAGGUCACCUAGACUGUCCUCUUCAAUCUAGGACAGAAUUAAUUCCAUCUGGAUGCACAGACAUUUUUAAACACAUUUUUGAAGCUUGUGUCACCAGAUAUUCUACCACUUUCCUGCAUUUCCUACCGGUAUCAAAAGAAUAUUUUCCUAAUACUUAACCUCAUUUUCUGUGCUGUAAGUUAAGCCAAUUAUUACUUACCCUGCCUUUGAGGAAGAGGAACAGAUUAGCAAGCCACGUUUUUACUGAACAGCAAAUUCCAACCUCCAAAAUCCCAAGCCAGAGCAAAAAGCCAAAAUGCCAUCAUUUUCCUCAAAAUAGAACUGUCUUACCUCAAAUUAAGUUGAUCAAAUAGAUUUGAAGAACAUCUAAUCAUUUGUCUAAUUGUCUUUUCAUAUGAUCACCUAAACAAAGAAUCUGCAUGUAAUCAUUCAAAGAGGAUCUUUUAACACUAUCAGAAUGGAAGAAGAAAGCUGAAAUGUUGUUUCUUCUUUCAUGCUAGUGAGAAUUUACAUGCCUAUGACUUGUUUGGCUUUCAAAUAAAUUUAAAUAAAGGUUUUUUUAACCAA
rnacentral:lncRNA from 1 species